rnacentral:rRNA from 1 species
GCAGUCGAGCGGACAKAAGGGAGCUUGCUCCCGGAUGUUARCGGCGGACGGGUGAGUAACAYGUGKGUAACCUGCCUGUAAGACUGGGAUAACUYCGGGAAACCGGAGCUAAUACCGGAUAGUUCCUUGAACCGMAUGGUUCAAGGAUGAAAGAYGGUUUCGGCUGUSACUUACAGAUGGACCCGCGGCGCAUUAGCUAGUUGGUGAGGUAACGGCUCACCAAGGCGACGAUGCGUAGCCSACCUGAGAGGGUGAUCGGCCACACUGGGACUGARACACGGCCCAGACUCCUACGGGAGGCAGCAGUAGGGAAUCUUCCGCAAUGGACGAAAGUCUGACGGAGCAWCKCCSCGUGAGUGAUGAAGGUUUUCGGAUCGUAAAGCUCUGUUGUUAGGGAAGAACAAGUGCAAGAGUAACUGCUUGCACCUUGACGGUACCUAACCARAAAGCCRCGGCUAACUACGUGCCAGCAGCCGCGGUAAUACGUAGGUGGCAAGCGUUGUCCGGAAUUAUUGGGCGUAAAGGGCUCGSAGGCGGUUUCUUAAGUCUGAUGUGAAAGCCCCCGGCUCAACCGGGGAGGGUCAUUGGAAACUGGGAAACUUGAGUGCAGAAGARGAGAGUGGAAUUCCACGUGUAGCGGUGAAAUGCGUAGAGAUGUGGAGGAACACCAGUGGCGAAKGCGACUCUCUGGUCUGUMACUGACGCUGARGAGCGAAAGCGUGGGGAGCGAACAGGAUUAGAUACCCUGGUAGUCCACGCCGUACACGAUGAGUGCUAAGUGUUAGGGGGUUUCCGCCCCUUAGUGCUGCAGCUAACGCAUUAAGCACUCCGCCUGGGG